rnacentral:rRNA from 1 species
CAACUGUGUGAAUUAAUGUGAACUGCAUACUGAUCUGAACAUCGACAUCUUGAACGCACAUUGCGGCCAUGGGUUAGCCUGUGGCCACGUCUGCCCGAGGGUUGGCUUCUAAACUAUCACGACGCCCAUAAAGUCGUGGUCUGGGUUCUGCCAACUGGCAUGAUUUCCUCGAUACUUUCGAGGUGCCGGGUCUAUGGYUUUUCCCCAAUUAAUGUGUCCGCAAAACCACCAUACAUGUUGUUGUGGCGGAGUCGUGGCCAAAUGUGAUUGUGAUAAUAUGCGCGCUCCGUUUUGUGGUUGAGAUUGUGUGGAGGUUUGUGACAUACUUGCCUGGCCUACCUACCUGACCUCGGAUCAGACGUGAAUACCCGCUGAACUUAAGCAUAUCACUAAGCGGAGGAAAAGAAACUAACAAGGAUUCCCUCAGUAACGGCGAGUGAACAGGGAUUAGCCCAGCACCGAAGCCUGUGUCCAUUUGGGCAUUAGGCAAUGUGGUGUUUGGGUCGUUCCACUGAGGUACUGCUCCAUCCUAAGUCCAGAAAUGAGUACGGUGGUACGGACACGGCCCACAGAGGGUGAAAGGCCCGUGGGGG